UCGGGAAUAUUGCGCAAUGGAGGAAACUCUGACGCAGUGACGCCGCGUGCAGGAAGAAGGUUUUCGGAUUGUAAACUGCUUUAGACAGGGAAGAAACAAGACAGUACCUGUAGAAUAAGCUCCGGCUAACUACGUGCCAGCAGCCGCGGUAAUACGUAGGGAGCGAGCGUUAUCCGGAUUUAUUGGGUGUAAAGGGUGCGUAGACGGGAGAACAAGUUAGUUGUGAAAGCCCUCGGCUUAACUGAGGAACUGCAACUAAAACUAUUUUUCUUGAGUACUGGAGAGGAAAGUGGAAUUCCUAGUGUAGCGGUGAAAUGCGUAGAUAUUAGGAGGAACACCAGUGGCGAAGGCGACUUUCUGGACAGAAACUGACGUUGAGGCACGAAAGUGUGGGGAGCAAACAGGAUUAGAUACC
rnacentral:rRNA from 1 species